rnacentral:rRNA from 1 species
AUCAGCCACACUGGAACUGAGACACGGUCCAGACUCCUACGGGAGGCAGCAGUGGGGAAUUUUGGACAAUGGGCGAAAGCCUGAUCCAGCCAUUCCGCGAGAGUGAAGAAGGCCUUCGGGUUGUAAAGCUCUUUCGGCAGGAACGAAAUGGUCACGGUUAAUAACUGUGACUUCUGACGGUACCUGAAGAAGAAGCACCGGCUAACUACGUGCCAGCAGCCGCGGUAAUACGUAGGGUGCGAGCGUUAAUCGGAAUUACUGGGCGUAAAGCGUGCGCAGGCGGUUUUGUAAGUCAGAUGUGAAAGCCCCGGGCUUAACCUGGGAAUGGCGUUUGAAACUACAAGGCUAGAGUGUGUCAGAGGGGGGUGGAAUUCCACGUGUAGCAGUGAAGUGCGUAGAGAUGUGGAGGAAUACCGAUGGCGAAGGCAGCCCCCUGGGAUAACACUGACGCUCAUGCACGAAAGCGUGGGGAGCAAACAGGAUUAGAUACCCUGGUAGUCCACGCCCUAAACGAUGUCAACUAGUUGUCGGGAGGGUAACCCUCUUGGUAACGCAGCUAACGCGUGAAGUUGACCGCCUGGGGAGUACGGUCGCAAGAUUAAAACUCAAAUGAAUUGACGG